rnacentral:rRNA from 1 species
UACGAAGGGGGCUAGCGUUGUUCGGAAUCACUGGGCGUAAAGCGCACGCAGGCGGAUUGAUAAGUCGGGGGUGAAAUCCCGGGGCUCAACCUCGGAAUUGCCUUCGAUACUGUCUGUCUAGAGUCCGGAAGAGGAGAGUGGAAUUCCUGGUGUAGCGGUGAAAUGCGCAGAUAUCAGGAAGAACACCAAUGGCGAAGGCAGCUCUCUGGGACGGUACUGGACGCU